rnacentral:rRNA from 1 species
GACAGAGGAGGCAAGCGUUGUCCGGACUGACUGGGCGUAAAGCGUCCGCAGGUGGUCGCGCAAGUGCGCUGUGAAAGCGGCCCGCUCAACGGGCCGAGGCCAGCGCAGACUGCGCAACUCGAGGUCGGGAGAGGUCGGUGGAAUUGCCGGUGUAGUGGUGAAAUGCGUAGAGAUCGGCAGGAACACCCAAGGGGAAGCCAGCCGGACUGGCCCGCACCUGACACUCAGGGACGACAGCGUGGGGAGCGAACCGGG